rnacentral:rRNA from 1 species
UACGUAGGGUGCGAGCGUUAAUCGGAAUUACUGGGCGUAAAGCGUGCGCAGGCGGUUUUGCAAGCCGGAUGUGAAAUCCCCGGGCUCAACCUGGGAAUGGCAUUUGGGACUGCAAGGCUCGAGUGCGGCAGAGGAGACUGGAAUUCCUGGUGUAGCAGUGAAAUGCGUAGAUAUCAGGAGGAAUACCGAUGGCGAAGGCAGGUCUCUGGGCUGACACUGACGCUCAUGCACGAAAGGCGUGGGGAGCAAACAGG